GUGGGGAAUAUUGGACAAUGGGCGAAAGCCUGAUCCAGCCAUGCCGCGUGUGUGAAGAAGGUCUUCGGAUUGUAAAGCACUUUAAGUUGGGAGGAAGGGCAGUAAGUUAAUACCUUGCUGUUUUGACGUUACCGACAGAAUAAGCACCGGCUAACUUCGUGCCAGCAGCCGCGGUAAUACGAAGGGUGCAAGCGUUAAUCGGAAUUACUGGGCGUAAAGCGCGCGUAGGUGGUUUUGUAAGUUGGAGGUGAAAUCCCCGGGCUCAACCUGGGAACUGCCUCCAAAACUGCAUGACUAGAGUACGGUAGAGGGUAGUGGAAUUUCCUGUGUAGCGGUGAAAUGCGUAGAUAUAGGAAGGAACACCAGUGGCGAAGGCGACUACCUGGACUGAUACUGACACUGAGGUGCGAAAGCGUGGGGACCAAACAGGAUUAGGUACCCGUGUAGUCC
rnacentral:rRNA from 1 species